rnacentral:rRNA from 1 species
AUUGAACGCUGGCGGCAGGCCUAACACAUGCAAGUCGAGCGAGCGGCGGACGGGUGAGUAAUGUCUGGGAAACUGCCUGAUGGAUGGGGAUCACUACUGGAAACGGUAGCUAAUACCGCAUACCAUCAGAUGUGCCCAGAUGGGAUUAGCUGGUAGGUGGGGUAACGGCUCACCUAGGCGACGAUCCCUAGCUGGUCUGAGAGGAUGACCAGCCACACUGGAACUGAGACACGGUCCAGACUCCUACGGGAGGCAGCAGUGGGGAAUAUUGGACAAUGGGCGAAAGCCUGAGGCAGCCAUGCCGCGUGUGUGAAGAAGGCCUUCGGGUUGUAAAGCACUGUCAGCGGGGAGGCGUUACCCGCAGAAGAAGCAACGGCUAACUCCGUGCCAGCAGCCGCGGUAAUUC